rnacentral:rRNA from 1 species
AUACUAAGGCGAUCGAGAUAACCAUGGUGAAGGAACUCGGCAAAAUACCCCCGUAACUUCGGAAUAAGGGGGACCUGAGACGUAUUAGAAUUUACUUCGAAAGCGUCGAGGGUCGCGGAGACCAGACCCAAGCGACUGUUUACUAAAAACACAGGUCCGUGCUAAGUCGUAAGACGAUGUAUACGGACUGGCUCCUCCCCGGUGCUGGAAGGUUAAGGGGAAGGGUUAGCUUCGGCGAAGCCUUGAACUUAAGCCCCAGUAAACGGCGGUGGUAACUAUAACCAUCCUAAGGUAGCGAAAUUCCUUGUCGGGUAAGUUCCGACCUGCACGAAUGGAGUAACGACUUGGGCGCUGUCUCCACCAUGGACUCGGCGAAAUUGCACUACGAGUAAAGAUGCUCGUUACGCGCAGCAGGACGGAAAGACCCCGGGACCUUCACUAUAGUUUGGUAUUGGUGAUCGGAGUGACUUGUGUAGGAUAGGUGGGAGACUUUGAAGCUUGGACGCCAGUUCAGGUGGAGUCAUCGUUGAAAUACCACUCUGGUCACUUUGGUUAUCUAACCUAGGUCCAUUAUCUGGAUCAGGGACAGUGCCUGAUGGGUAGUUUGACUGGGGCGGUCGCCUCCUAAAAGGUAACGGAGGCGCCCAAAGGUUCCCUCAGCCUGGUUGGCAAUCAGGUUUCGAGUGUAAGUGCACAAGGGAGCUUGACUGCGAGAGAGACAUCUCAAGCAGGGACGAAAGUCGGGACUAGUGAUCUUCUGGUGGCACAUGGAAGCGCCAGGACUCAACGGAUAAAAGGUACCCCGGGGAUAACAGGCUGAUCUUGCCCAAGCGUCCAUAGCGACGGCAUGGUUUGGCACCUCGAUGUCGGCUCGUCGCAUCCUGGGGCUGGAGUCGGUCCCAAGGGUUGGGCUGUUCGCCCUUUAAAGCGGCACGCGAGCUGGGUUUAGAACGUCGUGAGACAGUUCGGUCACUAUCCGCUGCGCGCGUAGGAGUCUUGAGAAGAGCUGUCCUUAGUACGAGAGGACCGGGACGGACUAACCUCUGGUGUGCCAGUUGUUCUACCAAGAGCACGGCUGGUUGGCUACGUUGGGAAGUGAUAACCGCUGAAAGCAUCUAAGCGGGAAGCACGCUUCAAGAUGAGGGCUCCCACAGAAUAAUCUGGUAAGGCCCCCUAUAGACCAUGGGGUGAUAGGUCGGAUGUGGAAGUGCAGCAAUGCACGGAGCUGACCGAUACUAAUAGGCC